UGGGGAAUAUUGCACAAUGGAGGGAACUCUGAUGCAGCGACGCCGCGUGAACGAAGAAGGCUUUCGAGUCGUAAAGUUCUUUUAUAUGGGAAGAUAAUGACGGUACCAUAAGAAAAAGCCCCGGCUAACUACGUGCCAGCAGCCGCGGUAAUACGUAGGGGGCUAGCGUUGUCCGGAAUCACUGGGCGUAAAGGGUUCGUAGGCGGAAAUGCAAGUCAGGUGUAAAAGGCAGUAGCUUAACUACUGUAAGCAUUUGAAACUGCAUAUCUUGAGAAGAGUAGAGGUAAGUGGAAUUUUUAGUGUAGCGGUGAAAUGCGUAGAUAUUAAAAAGAAUACCGGUGGCGAAGGCGACUUACUGGGCUCAUUCUGACGCUGAGGAACGAAAGCGUGGGUAGCAAACAGG
rnacentral:rRNA from 2 species